UACAGGGGGUGCAAACGUUGCUCGGAAUCAUUGGGCGUAAAGCGCACGUAGGCGGUUCGUUAUGUCGGAUGUGAAAGCCCUUGGCUUAACCGAGGAAGUGCAUCCGAAACUGGCGAGCUAGAGUACUAAAGAGGAUCGCGGAAUUCCCCGGUGUAGAGGUGAAAAUUCGUAGAUAUCGGGAGGAACACCGGUGGCGAAGGCGGCGAUCUGGGUAGAUACUGACGCUGAGGUGCGAAAAGCGUGGGGGAGCAAACAGG
rnacentral:rRNA from 1 species